CCCGGUGGGUGUGGAUGGGCGUUCACCGCCUUCACCUGCCGCCCUGGGACGAAUGACUGGGAACAGCAUCGCCGCUCUCGGCCACUUGUUGAAGGUGUCCGUGCAGCGCCGUUCUAACAGGUUUUCUACUUGUAAAAGACAAUGACUACUGAUGAAGGUGCCAAGAACAAUGGAGAAAGUCCAGCAGCCACUGUUGCUGAACAGGGAGAGGAUAUUACCUCCAAAAAAGACAGAGGAGUAUUAAAAAUUGUCAAAAGAGUGGGGAAUAGUGAGGAAAUGCCAAUGAUUGGAGACAAAGUUUAUGUUCAUUACAAAGGAAAAUUGUCAAAUGGAAAGAAAUUUGAUUCCAGCCAUGAUAGAAAUGAACCAUUUGUCUUUAGUCUUGGCAA